rnacentral:rRNA from 1 species
UAAGGAAUAUUGGUCAAUGGAGGCAACUCUGAACCAGCCAUGCCGCGUGCAGGAAGACGGCCCUCUGGGUUGUAAACUGCUUUUAUUCGGGAAUAAACCUACUUACGUGUAAGUAGCUGAAUGUACCGAAGGAAUAAGGAUCGGCUAACUCCGUGCCAGCAGCCGCGGUAAUACGGAGGAUCCAAGCGUUAUCCGGAUUUAUUGGGUUUAAAGGGUGCGUAGGCGGCCUAUUAAGUCAGGGGUGAAAGACGGUAGCUCAACUAUCGCAGUGCCCUUGAUACUGAUGGGCUUGAAUGAACUAGAGGUAGGCGGAAUGUGACAAGUAGCGGUGAAAUGCAUAGAUAUGUCACAGAACACCGAUUGCGAAGGCAGCUCUCUAAGCUACAUCUGACGCUGAGGCACGAAAGCGUGGGGAUCAAACA